rnacentral:misc_RNA from 1 species
GAGGGGUAGGGGUGUAGGUGUUAGUGAUUAAAAUUUUUGAGGUGGGAGUGAAAAGUUCACUGGCUACUGGAGAGAUAGGAGCUAAUAGGGAUGAGAGAUGAGGGAGAAAGCAUAUUUAUGUUGCACAAUUUUUCAUUAAGUAAAUCAAUCAAUUUAUCCUAUGUCUACAAUUAUGCAUAUGCCAACCCAAGAUGUGGAAAAAAAGAAAUUGGUCUUGCAUUUACAAA